AUCCUGCUUAAGCUCGAGGUUUCUCUUGGAUGGGUGUAUCUCUUCAUGGGCAUCGUGAUUGGCUCGGCUGUGUUCCCCAUCGCUGCCUCUCUCACCUGGGCCAAGUGCUCUGCCAAAGCUGCUUGCAUCUCAGCCGUCGUCACCACCCCGCUCGCCAUCAUGACCUGGCUCAUUACCGCGGCCAAGCUCAACGAUGGCGUCAUCAACCUGGACACCACGGGCCAGGACUACCCCAUGCUCGCGGGCAAUCUCGUGGCGCUCUUCUUCUCAAUGAUUCUUUGCAUCAUCCUGUCGUACAUCUUCCCACAGGUGAGGAAGCUGUACGUCACCUUAUGUACGUAAGAUGUAACGUACAUGCACAAUUUUCCUGCGCCGUACUGUCCAACAAGUAAUUGUGUGGGGGGGAUAGCGGAUACCGCCAUUCCGUUGAUCUCCCCGCAGCCUUUGAACCGCUUAGCUCCCUGUUUGAUGUUCUCCUCACCACUCCGCACGAACCCCGCACCAGCCCUCAUGCUCCCCGUCUUGACCUGUUUGGCUCAAAUGUGUGAACGAACAGGACUUCGACUGGGCUGAGCUGCGCAACAUCCCGGUCAUCGAGUCCGACCCCAACUCCGACCCCAACAACUUCGAGGGAGAAGACUCCCCCGAGGCUCUCAAUUACGUGAUCAAGUUCACCUGGGCCACCGGUGGUACUCUCACUUUGGUCCUGCUCAUCUUGUGGCCCAUCCUGACGCUGCCGGCUAAGGUCUUCAACCAGGGCUACUUCACGUAAGUCUGAUAGCCCUAGGGUGGUUGUGGAUUUGCAAAAAUAACAAGUCGCAUGAUCAGGAAAAAUAGUUCCUAGCCUACCCCAAAAGAAGUCUAUCAGUCCAUCCGAAAAAAACGGUCGGUUACUGAACCCUGCCGCCUCCUGGCCCGGUUGCUUCCACAGGUUUUGGGUGAUCGUAGCCAUGGUUUGGGGCAUCGUGGCCUCCGUCAUCUGCAUUGUGCUUCCCAUCUUCGAGGCCAGCGACGUCAUCUUCGCCGCCUGCAUCGGCAAGAAGCCGUCAAAGACUGCAGCAAGCGCAGAGGAAAGUGUGCAGGCUGGCAAGGAGUCGCACCUCGAGCUCCCACCCGCACCUGUCCAAGCAAGCAAGGUCUAAAGCAAACACCAUCUGGCCUGCCUGCCGGCCAAAACAUCUCUGUACGUAUGUAUGUAUUGACGUCUUGUACGCACGUCGUGGCACACAACGGGGCUCCUGUGGCGUGCAGCAGGGCACUGGAGUGGUGGAGGCGGCUUUGCAUGCCACGUUGCGGGCAUGGGUUGGCAGGGAUUUCGUUCACUCAGAACUGCGCUCCUACGCGAUCACUCUGGUUGCGUCCUCUGCUGGGGAAGUUCUCGUUAUUGUGUGCCCUCCCUCUUGUCUUUGGAUGGGUACUCGUUGGGUCUGGUUUUUUGGGGUCCCUGCUCUGCACAGUUCUGACUGCUUUGUGGUUGGUAUGAACAUUUCCGUGAAGAUGGGCGUGCGGGUCGGCGUCAGGACAGCGCAGGUAAGCAUGCGUGAUCCGUGUUACUUGGGUGAUAGGGUGAAGCCGCCCCGCGUGGUCUGUCGAGCCAUGUCAUGCUUUUGGGGAGGGGGGAACAUUGUCGCUCGCAUGUGCGUGAUUACCAGUCACGCUUACUGUGUCGCAUGGUGUAUGCUAGCGUGACCUGGUAAAGGAUGGAGGGGAUCGCCUUUCUGUCUUGGAAGAAGGCGUGGCCAAAUGAAGGGAUCGCUAACGUGACUUGACUGACCUAUCUUGCGCUCUUGUAGAAGGUCUUAGGCGGUUUGAAGGUAGAUGCGUAAGUAUGCACAGCGACAGCUUGACCUCGGGAUUGCAAAGCAUAUGUGAAUGAUGCCUUUGCUUGUCUGUGCAGUGUUGUUGCGUAUGUCGUAUUGUACGACGUGGAGCGGUUGGGGCGCUAUCUGCGGUUGUCCGAGGUUGAACCCUGUUGUUUUGUACUGUGUAUGUGCAGCUGCAUGAAUGGAUUUGGUAUAUGACAUUUGGGGGCUCGCAGGAGCGGCGCCCCGUGUACUAAUCUCGAAUGACCAUUCCCUGUACUCUUAAGACAAAUAUCUUCAAUCUCAGCCAUUAUCUCCAGACGCCGUUUUGAUGCGUGAUACAUUCUCAUGUGAUACGAUCCUGCAAAGGUAGUAUUGCGACCGAUGACGUGUCCUUGCUCGUACCUCCCAGCAGCAUAUGCAGUACCUGCUUGGCGUGUGCAGCGUCUGUACAUGUGCGCUGUGGAUGUCAUUCCUUGCGGUCGGGCAGGUCCUCGGGCGUCGGGCAUGCACCUGGUCAUCGCUUUGGACUUGUUGGUGUUUGUGGUGGAGGUGGCGGUUGUGAUAAUUGGCAAUUCACGCACGAAAAGGAAUCGCGUUUGAGAUGCAUCUUGCGGAGGGAGGAGCAAUAGAAGUAGCAUCAGUGUCAGCUCUGUGCUUGAUUGUCAUGUAGGUCAGCUCAUCAGGUAGACAGCGAUGACUCGGGGUGUGGGCGGCGUCUUGCGUGGUGUUGGCGUCUGGAGUCUGCAGGGCCCCUAAAUGCGAUUUUAGAUAAAUGAAAUGAUGUCCUUGUUACUUCCUUAAUUCUCCAUAUUACAUACGUUGCCACGUUUGCAAGGAGUGAAAAUGCUUGCACCCUAAUAACAGGUGGUCAUCCGGAAGCAGAGGGAAAGGAGGGAAGGAGGGUGUUGGAUAUGGUGGUGGUGCGUGCGGAAGCGGAGGCAAGACGGGCACUGUAAUGCCCAGGAAUCCCAAUCGUCGCCAACCCUUCAUGGAGUGUAACAUAUAAAGGCGAAGCUCUUGGGACGAUGUGCACUGUGGGAUUGCGACGUUGGCUUGCUCUAUCUUCGUACCUAGGGAGAAUUCUUCCACGCCCUAGGCAAUAAAUCCCUCGCACCCGACACCCCCUCGGUAACUAGGAUACAAAAGGGCAAUAGUCGCUGUACGUACCGCCGAACAAAGCAAUGUGAAGACCGCUGAAGACCAAUGGCCCUAGUGGGGAGGAACCUAGGCUCAAAUUACAAGCUGGUACUUCAACCUGGAAACCCAAAUCUUGGUCUUGCCGUUGCCAGACCAGUUUAUCAAUGGUUGUUACGUCGAGUACGGCAGCGCAGGUCCCCCGUCUGCAAUGGUCCCAAGACCGCGGGCAUUUCCGCUCAACUAUUCCACGAGGACACUCCAACCAGCGUCCAACACACGCAAGCGAGCAAAUAAACUUGAGGAAAAAAGCGGGCAUCAGGAGCUUUCGGCACGGACAAGACGCAGAUCAAGUAAAGAAGAGGCUACCGCUAGUAUGAUUAAGCAAACAGGCCUGAAGCUGACUUUAUACAACGAGAAACGAGCAAACAGAACAACGGCGUAAAAAACCCACCCGCUCUGACGCGUCACGGAACCUCACGUGGCGCUGAUGCCCCUCUGAAGGAGUCUCUUAACGCGAUGCCGACGCCUCUGCCACCCUGAUAGCGGGGUAAAGAGGGCAUUCAGCGAAGGUAUAGGCAGGGGCUCUCGUUCAGAGGUCUGCAAAUAAGGCGGGUACUGGGGGUACGUACCACAGUACCCGCAGGCGGAAUUCGGCUUAAGGCCCCGGCUGCGAGUCCCUUGACCAAAAUUUGCCCCAAAGACAUGAUUUGCAGCCUCUAUUCCGGCCCGUAGGGCUGCGGGCUGGACGUGUAGCGCUUUAAAAUGCUGCCCUUUCUUUGGCACCGGAAUGCUUUUUUAAAUGUUUUUUAGGUUUACUAAUCGAAAUUAUGCCCCCCCCAGCCGUAGAAACCGAUUUGCUGACCUCUGCACUCGUUACGGGCGGAGUUCUGUUACGGAAGGACGACACGCGGACGAGGCAAUUCGCUACCCUUAUGUUCAGUAACUAAUUUGCAUACAGUUUGUCGUUGAACGUGGAGACGAUUGCUAUUUGUAUUCUCUGAUGUAGCCAAGAGGUUUGCUUUUAGGCUCUGCUUAGGGAAUGGAACCCUAAGCAAAGCUCGGUUUAACUUGCAUAGUAGUGAGCAACAUGUCCAUAUCAGCUGUGAUAGUACAAGGACGAUGUAAGCACACUGUUGGUAUGUUGGCAGCAAACCAUCAUUAUUGAAGUCGUUUUGUAAACUCCAGCAUACAGUGAUGUCGGCGAUCUGUAAAAAUAUUUUCGGAUUGCUAAAGUAUCAAAACAAGUGCGAGUUCUUUGAAGAUGGUGCGUUUGGGUGACUGUCAAAUUUUGAAGGAUACUGGACGGGUCCUUGUUCUCAGCCAGUAGGAUGCAAACUUAACUGUAUGGGCGGCACACCACGCCCAUAGGACCAACUGUGUUGCCUGAGGAGCUCGGCUGGUUUAUCCUGGCCGGUUUGGGUGCUGUCUUCGCCUUCAUACCGACGUGCUUAAUCUGGCUUGACAGGUAAUGUUGCCCACCAAACGCAUCCUCUGGCGUCUAGGUGCCCAGGUUUCUCCGUCUUCGUGUUCUGUGCCGUGCCAUGAAGUGCCAUGCUGCUCCCUUAAGUGCGCUGCUGUGCCUCCUAUGAUCCAAUACUGUAGUUCCCUCAUCGGCUUUGGAAGGCUAGGCUGGGCUCCGGGAUGCAAGCCUCAGCUGUUGCUGCCCAACCUUCUCCCAAUUCCCCCCUGGCUACUGCUCCUAGUUCCCGCUCUGAUGCCUGCGCCUUACUCUUCCACCUGCUUCGCUCACCGCUCAAGGCGCUUCGGUGGCUUCGGUCGCGAUUCGGAGAGCUUCUCUACAGCCGGUCGAAGCAUUAAGGCCGGUUUAACUGCUUGCGACAUCGUCGCCAAGUGGACAUGGGCGGCGACGUUGCUCCAGUCCACAAACGUGGCUUACUCGUUCGGCGUGUCGGGUCCUUUCUGGUACGCGGCAGGUGAGUAGCGGAACGGAAUGAAGUCGACCUCUGCCUCUGAGCACGGCAGGUCGGUCGGUCUUUCAAGUCUUCAGUCGUAACCAGGACACUGUUCCCCGGACGAUACAUGGAUGUGGCUCAAACCUUAGGAUUUUCGUGUAUGGGGGCCUAAACGGACUAAAUGACAGUGCGGGCGGUGCAGCUGGCUAUGUUCCUUUGGGCGUUUGGCAGCAAAGCAGCAAAAAUCCAUUUGGGUCGACGGAUAUAUAUGUAUAUCUGGUAGACAGAAUGGCAGGCAGGUGGGCGGCCUGCAUGCUGCCGCCAUCGGCGCCGUCCCUGUUUCGCCGCACCAUCGUAUGCUGCUGCUGAAAGCUUCGUGCAGCUGCUUUCAGCUUGUAAAUGCUGCAGUGCACUACACUGUUCAUCCUGCAUGGCGUAUCACGAUGCCGGCUGGCGACCCUGCACGCUGGGUUCCCCUCUCCCAGCCCCUAGACCCCCUCACUAGGGAACACCUCGGAGCCCAGUGGCGUCACCUUAGCUGCUUCGUCUUUGGCAUAUCUGCAGUCAGGACUGCGGUCAGUACUGCAGCCAGCACUGCAGUCCUGUUACUUGAUGUGUUUCCUCCCUUUCCCUGCUUCCCUCUCUUUAGGCGCCACCGUGCAAAUCCUCCUUUUCGCCAUCCUGGCUGUGGAAGUCAAGCGCAAGGCGCCCACCAUCCACACCUUUUUGGAGAUCAUUCGCUGCCGCUGGGGCACCACCGCUCACGUCAUCUUCACCGUAUACGGCUUCCUGACCAACAUCAUCGUCACGGCCAUGCUUAUCCUUGGUGGCGCAGCCGUGAUGGAGGCGCUGUCCGGCGUGUCGGUGUAUGCCGCGUCCUUCCUCAUCCCUGCCGGUGUGGUCAUCUACACCGCGGCCGGCGGACUCAAGGGCACGGUCGUGGCUGAGUGGCUCAACGUCUGCGUCAUUUACAUAGCCAUGUUGGUUUUCAUGUUCCAGGUGCGUCGUUGUCCUCAGCGCAACAUCAGGAGCUUAUGGCCCUCUGCCUCUAGGGAUAAGGUAUGCUGGAAUAGAUGAGUCCGCAAGGAACUACUGUCUGUGUGAAUCCCUCUGGGUAGAUCCCUAAGGGCUGGCUGAGUGGCUGCCACCGAUUUCCACCUCCGGCGGUUUCGUCCACUUCAGCUCCCUGUUGUCAUCGCUUUCUGUCGAUGUCCCAUGAUGCGUGGCGCGGGUGCUGCGGCACGGGUGAUGACCUGCAUCGCACGGAAAAUUUUCCUGCCACCGCUCAGCAUUUUUGGGUGGGGCCGUGCUGAAAUAGAAAUAUGCGGGCAAGACUGCACUGAAACCCAUAACAUCCGUAUGAUGUGUUUCGUACAUCGGUGCUAUUGUAUUAACGUUAUGAAGCCGCUUAUUGCAAUAGUCUCCCUUUUUCUGUUUAAAAAAGACCAAUUCAGUGUGUCAUUGGUCUAUUGCCUUGCGUCUAGUGUAGUGCCACUGGUUUGAGCUCUCUCCCUCGCCCCUUGUGUGUUUGCUACGUUUCCGUAGGGCCCUCAUAUAGCACGCAUAUAGGGACAGCUGUUAGACCCGGCUGUGUGGCCCCCUGGCAGCCACCCGGGUAUUCCCCGGGUGGCGUCCAACCUUCCCUCGUUAAACCCUCCUCAACCUCUCCUGAUCGGAAUCCAUUAAUCCCGCCAGCCCUGACCUUGCCAUAGACCCUUACACGCCGAAACUCCGAAAUGCCCUAUUGGCACAAUAUUGUCGCGUGGGUGCCCCUGCUCCUUUUAUCUUCUGAUGCUGCUGCUGCUGCUGCUGAUGAUGAUGAUGAUGCCAAUGACAGGUGUACGCAACACACGAGGACCUUGGCUCCAUCGCCACCGUGUACAUACGGCUGCGGAUGGUGGAAAUUAAGCACCCAGUAGCCGACAACAUGGGCGGCUCGUACCUGACCAUGUUCUCCAAGAAGGGCAUUAUCUUCGGCAUCAUCAACAUCAUUGGCAACUUCGGCACGGUGUUCGUAGAUCAGUCGUACUGGCAGGGCGCCAUCGCCGCCAAGCCCUCCGCUACCUACCGCGGCUACCUGCUGGGCGGCCUGUGCUGGUUCGCCAUUCCCUUCACCUUCGCAACAACCAUGGGACUGGGCGCGAGGGCACUGGACCUGCCCGUCAGUCGCACUGAGGCUGACCGGGGUUUGGUUCCUGCUGCCCUUGCGGUGCACCUCAUGGGCAAGGGGGGAGCCUUCCUGAUGACCCUGCAAUUGUUCAUGGUGGGUUGAGAUGUGUGACGCAUCAGGAUGUGCGAUACGGCGUGGCCGGGCAAUGGAGGAGGGCCAUGGGUGACUAACGGCAGCCCUGGUGAUCCAGGGGCUACCGGGCUCCAGGGGCUGCCGGGCUCCAGGGGCUGCCGGGCUCCAGGGGCUGCCGGGCUCCAGGGGCUGCCGGGCUCCAGGGGCUACCGGGCUCCAGGGGCUACCGGGCUCCAGGGGCUACCGGGCUCCAGGGGCUACCGGGCUCCAGGGGCUACCAGGCUCCAGGACUAUUUGGGGAACCGUACAAUGGGUACAGCGCAACACCAACAUACCAAUCAACCUUUCUUGCGCCGCCUCAGUGCAAGCUGGCUAACCCAGUGGGCCUCCCCGUGCAUUGCCGCUGUGGUGGCAGGUUAGUGCCUCACGCACAUGUAGCCGCAGUUGCCUACCCACAAACGUUUACAGCGUUCCGUCCCUAGCUCUCCUGCCCGAGCUCUCUAUCCCCUCGUCAUUCACUUGAAGCACUAAACCACUUUGCUCACCUUGCGCCUGUCCUUUGCCUUCGCAAACCCAGGCCGUGACCGCCACCGCCUGCGCGGAGCAGAUGGCCGUCGCCACCAUUGUCGCGUACGAUAUUUACAAGCCGUACAUCAACCGAAAUGCUGAUGGCCGAACUAUGGUCAUGCUACAGCGGGUCAUGGUGGUGACCUAUGCGGUCAUCUCCGGUGUUGUGUCAGUCAUCCUGCUUAAGCUCAACGUCUCUCUUAACUGGGUUUAUCUCUUCAUGGGCAUCGUGAUUGGCUCGGCCGUGUUCCCCAUCGCUGCCUCUCUCACCUGGGCCAAGUGCUCUGCCAAAGCUGCUUGCAUCUCAGCCAUCGUCACCACCCCGCUCGCCAUCAUGACCUGGCUCAUUACCGCGGCCAAGCUCAACGAUGGCGUCAUCAACCUGGACACCACGGGCCAGGACUACCCCAUGCUCGCGGGCAAUCUCGUGGCGCUCUUCUUCUCAAUGAUUCUUUGCAUCAUCCUGUCGUACAUCUUCCCAC
rnacentral:lncRNA from 1 species